UACGUUCCCGGGCCUUGUACACACCGCCCGUCACACCAUGGGAGUUGGUUUUACCCCGAAAGACCGGUACGCUAACCCGUAAACGGAGGCGGAGCCGGCCACGGUAAGGUCAGCGACUGGGGUG
rnacentral:rRNA from 1 species